AGUGGGGAAUUUUGGACAAUGGGCGCAAGCCUGAUCCAGCCAUUCCGCGUGCAGGACGAAGGCCUUCGGGUUGUAAACUGCUUUUGUACGGAACGAAAGGGCUCUCUCUAAUACAGGGGGCAUAUGACGGUACCGUAAGAAUAAGCACCGGCUAACUACGUGCCAGCAGCCGCGGUAAUACGUAGGGUGCAAGCGUUAAUCGGAAUUACUGGGCGUAAAGCGUGCGCAGGCGGUUUUGUAAGACAGAGGUGAAAUCCCCGGGCUCAACCUGGGAACUGCCUUUGUGACUGCAAGGCUGGAGUGCGGCAGAGGGGGAUGGAAUUCCGCGUGUAGCAGUGAAAUGCGUAGAUAUGCGGAGGAACACCGAUGGCGAAGGCAAUCCCCUGGGCCUGCACUGACGCUCAUGCACGAAAGCGUGGGGAGCAAACAGGAUUAGAUACCCUGGUAGUCCACGCCCUAAACGAUGUCAACUGGUUGUUGGGAAUUCAUUUUCUCAGUAACGAAGCUCACGCGUGAAGUUGACCGCCUGGGGAGUACGGCCGCAAGGUUAAAA
rnacentral:rRNA from 1 species